GUAGGGAAUAUUGGGCAAUGGAGGCAACUCUGACCCAGCCAUGCCGCGUGCAGGAUGACGGCCCUCUGGGUUGUAAACUGCUUUUAUACGGGAAGAAAAAAUACUACGUGUAGUAUACUGACGGUACCGUAAGAAUAAGUAUCGGCUAACUCCGUGCCAGCAGCCGUGGUAAUACGGAGGAUCCAAGCGUUGUCCGGAUUUAUUGGGUUUAAAGGGUGCGUAGGCGGAUCUUUAAGUCAGUGGUGAAAGCCUGCAGCUUAACUGUAGAAUUGCCAUUGAAACUGAAGAUCUUGAAUGCGGUUAAAGUAGGCGGAAUGUAUCAUGUAGCGGUGAAAUGCUUAGAUAUGAUACAGAACACCGAUAGCGAAGGCAGCUUGCUGAACCAUUAUUGACGCUGAGGCACGAAAGCGUGGGGAGCGAACAGGAUUAGAUACCCUGGUAGUCC
rnacentral:rRNA from 1 species